rnacentral:lncRNA from 1 species
AAUUGAGAAUCAAUUGAAAGUUUUGUUCGCAAUAGAAGAAACAGAAUUCACAUGUAGGUCCUACAUAACAACCCUAGCUUAAUGGUUUAGCUGUUCAUGGGCAUCGAAAAACAUAAAACAAACAAAGAAAACAAUAGAAACAUCAAAGAAGAAGAAUCUUUACAAGAAUUAAACUCCAAUGUGCUCCCGUUUCUCUUUCCAAUCUGUAGCUCCCUCGGUUAUUCCCAAAUUGCUCCAGAGAAAAGUAAAAUUCACGAAGUGUGAAAAAGAUACUUUAAAACAUAAAAACUAAGUUAUAUAAAG